ensembl:lincRNA Gm44512 predicted gene 44512
GGAUGUGAAGGUGAGAAUGUUCGGGCGUUGCCUGCUGAUCCAGCACGUGCAGAGUCUUCUGCGUUUCAGUGUUCCUUGCUGCGUAGCAUCUAACAAAGGCGUCUUCUGCAUCUCCGAGUAGAGAGAACACUACUCUGCCCGGGUAAAGUUCCUUUCUCAUGUCUGGAAUAUCUACAGUUGUGGAACCGCAGGAGUGGUGAAACCCGUUGACACCUAAAGCCACAAGGUCUGCAGGUGAUUUGUUGCUUAACAAGAGAGAAACCAAGACACUCAUACAGGGGAAAUCCAGCGCACAUCUGUGCGCAGAACAAUUCUUUCUGACUAAAGGUCUCCGAAGUCUGGCUAGCUUGGCCUCACUGGGAAUGGGGAACAUAGGCCCAUGCGCCCACCCACCUGUGCUCACAUGUCCUGAAGAAAUCUUCCACCUGGACCUGAAGCUCUUUUAUUCAGUCCGCAACAGUGGUCAUAUCAGCCUUCCUGACGCUGCGAGUCUUUAAUACAUUUCCUUGUGUUAUGGUGACACCCUCCCCAAUAAAAUAAUUUCAUUGCUA